rnacentral:lncRNA from 10 species
UCCCCACAUGAAGACUGUGUGGAGAGGGAGGUCUAGAUGCCUCCGUGGUGACUGACACGAGGAUCUGCUGGGGAUUCCUCAGUUGUGGUUAAAUGAAGUGACCACAUGGAUGAACCAAAUGGAGAGGAGGUACAGCUGCAGACUCAGGCCUGGGCGACCAUCGAUGGCUGUGUGGUAAAGCAAGCCCCACGCGGAAGGAGAACCCUCCCUCAGCUCCUGUGCCCAUGGAAAUCCAACCCUUCACAGAUCUGAGUCUCAUCUGGAUUAGGCCAUAUAUUUAGGUGAUGAAGGGACUCUGGGCCUGAGCUGCUUCAUUCUCUAGAGGGGCCUGGGGGCUGCCUGCAGAGGAGGAGGGGGCAGGAGAAGCUGCCUGAGGCUGAGGGAUGAGAAGGAAAUGCCUGGAGGCCCUGGCUUUGCAGGAAGGGGAGGAGCUCUGCAGCCAUUUAUGGAGGUAUUCACAUCAAUUUCUGAAAAGUAAGUUUUUCUUCAAUUUCUAUCUUCAACUAGUAAAAGAAAUAUGAAACAAUCAGAAUGAACAGAGUGGUUGCAAGCACAUUACGGAGAACUUCUCUGCCUGCACUACUUAAGAGUGAGCUGUCACACUGAUGCCCCAUCUUAAUGAUGCCACCUUAUGCCCCAUACUUUACUGUGGUUUCCUUGCAAACCAGGACAAUCUCCAGAUAACCACUGUGCAAACUCCAAAUUAGAUUUCACUCCAGACAUUACGACCACCUCAUGCUCAGAUGCCACUCCGGGUUCAGCAAUUGUUCUAAGAAUGUCUUUAAUCACCAGGGAGCUGAUAUAUGUGGGCAUUUCCUACCCCCUUAUUUUCCUAAAUAUAUACGUUAUGGUGUUCUAUUUGUCCCAGUGGUAGAUCUGUAUAUUUUUGGAAAUAUGGAAAGUGAUCUAAAUUGAUGUGAUUAUUUUUAUUGCGUGUAAAUCUGCAAUCCUCACUAACAUGUUGGAAAAGUUUAACAUUUUCAUCCUGCAUUUGGAUUGGUUCAUUUUUGCCAGUUCAGAUUUUGUAGUCUGAUGUAGAGCAAAAGAGAAAUCUUUCAUCAGCAUUGAAAAGCAUCCUGUACUGUACUAGCAUAUUUCAUUGCUAACUCUUUGCUAUGGCAAAGAACAGCACGGUCAGCAGUCUAGUAUCUCCAUGCUCUCUGGAACGUUUGGAGCCCCGAACUGACUCUGGGAUUGCUGGUUAGUGGGAUGAGCACAGCGUCCGCUGUCCUGGAUACUGCCUGAGUAGACGUCAAAGUAGUGAUUCAAUCUGGACUCCUACCUACAAUGUAAGAAGUCUCUGAUAUUCCAUUUCCUGUCCACCAAUUGGUAGAGACAGAUUUAAAAAAUUAUCAGUAGGGUGGGUGUGCAGGGGUAGACCACUGUUCUCUUGAUUGUGUCAGAGCUAUGAAAGCUUUCACAGGUUUCUUCAGCAUCUCUGAACUGCUCAGAGCAUUUGCUCAAGAAUUAGGUGCACUUUAUUAAUUUCUAGGAGUUCUUUAUAUAGUUUGCUCCUGAUCUUUCAUCUGUGGGGGAAUAGAAUAACUUUUACAAAUAGAGAUGCAUCUGUGGUGAGGAUUUCUUCUACUAGAAGUGAGCGUGGUCAGGGCUGAAGAAUGAUGAGAAAAGCCACUGCCGAGCGUGGAGUGGGCUGGGGCCAAACCAGAAAGCAUCACAUUCUGGAAGCAGGGAUAGAGGCAGGAAUAUCUGCCAGCCCCCAGGGCAUCAGGACAGUAGUGAAGACUGACAGCCAGGCUGCUUGUAAAUAGACUGACAGCCAGCCUGCUUGUAAAUUAAGAGUGAUCUUUAAAGUCUCUGUUUCCAAAAGAUAUCUAGCAGCAUCCCUAGUUGUAUUACUAAAAACAACAUGGCAGAAUAAUGAAAUUCCAUUAAUUCUCUACUGGGUUAUAAACCAAAAUUCCAAAGUCAAUAAGGUUCUUUGAAAAUAGACAUCUUUAUUUAA